CCAGACUCCUACGGGAGGCAGCAGUGGGGGAUAUUGCACAAUGGGGGGAACCCUGAUGCAGCGACGCCGCGUGGGUGAAGAAGCGCCUCGGCGCGUAAAGCCCUGUCAGCAGGGAAGAAAAUGACGGUACCUGAAGAAGAAGCCCCGGCUAACUACGUGCCAGCAGCCGCGGUAAUACGGAGGGUGCGAGCGUUAAUCGGAAUUACUGGGCGUAAAGCGCUCGUAGGCGGUAUGUCAAGUCAGAUGUGAAAGCCCGGGGCUCAACCCCGGGACUGCAUUUGAAACUGUCAGGCUGGAGUGCAGGAGAGGUAAGUGGAAUUCCUAGUGUAGCGGUGAAAUGCGUAGAUAUUAGGAGGAACACCAGUGGCGAAGGCGGCUUACUGGACUGUAACUGACGUUGAGGCUCGAAAGCGUGGGGAGCAAACAGGAUUAGAUACCCCCGUAGC
rnacentral:rRNA from 1 species